rnacentral:rRNA from 1 species
GACGAACCGUGCGAACGUUAUUCGGAAUCAUUGGGCUUAAAGGGCGCGUAGGCGGGUGACCGCGUCGAGUGCUGAAAGCCCCCGGCUUAACCGGGGAACAGGCCUCGAAACGGGUCAUCUCGAGGCGAGGAGGGGGACCUGGAACGUGCCGGUGGAGCGGUGAAAUGCGUUGAGAUCGGAAAGAACACCAACGGACGAAAGCACUCUGCUGGGCCGACACUGACACUGAGAGACGAAAGCUAGGGGAGCGAAUGGG